CCCCUAGUAACUGCGAGUGAAGCGGGAAAAGCUCAAAUUUAAAAUCUGGCAGUCUUUCGGCUGUCCGAGUUGUAAUCUAGAGAAGUGUUAUCCGCGCUGGACCGUGUACAAGUCUCCUGGAAUGGAGCGUCAUAGAGGGUGAGAAUCCCGUCUUUGACACGGACUACCAGGGCUUUGUGAUGCGCUCUCAAAGAGUCGAGUUGUUUGGGAAUGCAGCUCAAAAUGGGUGGUAAAUUCCAUCUAAAGCUAAAUAUUGGCGAGAGACCGAUAGCGAACAAGUACCGUGAGGGAAAGAUGAAAAGAACUUUGGAAAGAGAGUUAAACAGUACGUGAAAUUGCUGAAAGGGAAACGCUUGAAGUCAGUCGCGUUGUCCAGGGAUCAACCUUGCUUUUGCUUGGUGCACUUUCUGGUUAACGGGUCAGCAUCAAUUUUGACUAUUGGAAAAAGGUUAAGGGAAUGUGGCAUCUUUGGAUGUGUUAUAGCCCUUGAUUGUAUACAAUAGUUGGGAUUGAGGAACUCAGCACGCCGCAAGGCCGGGUUUUUAACCACGUACGUGCUUAGGAUGCUGGCAUAAUGGCUUUAAUCGACCCGUCUUGAAACACGGACCAAGGAGUCUAACAUGCCUGCGAGUGUUUGGGUGGAAAACCCGAGCGCGUAAUGAAAGUGAAAGUUGAGAUCCCUGUCGUAGGGAGCAUCGACGCCCGGACCAGACCUUUUGUGACGGUUCCGCGGUAGAGCAUGUAUGUUGGGACCCGAAAGAUGGUGAACUAUGCCUGAAUAGGGUGAAGCCAGAGGAAACUCUGGUGGAGGCUCGUAGCGAUUCUGACGUGCA
rnacentral:rRNA from 1 species